UACGUAGGGCGCAAGCGUUGUCCGGAAUUAUUGGGCGUAAAGAGCUCGUAGGCGGCUUGUCACGUCGGGUGUGAAAGCCCGGGGCUUAACCCCGGGACUGCAUUCGAUACGGGCUGGCCAGAGUGUGGUAGGGGAGAUCGGAAUUCCUGGUGUAGCGGUGAAAUGCGUAGAUAUCGGGAGGAACACCAGUGGCGAAGGCGAUCACCUGGGGUUGUUCUGGCGCUGAGGAGCGAAAGCUAGGGGAGCAAACGGG
rnacentral:rRNA from 1 species